ACACUGUUGUUCCAACUCAACACUGUAGAGGACCCUUAAUGCCCACUGGCUGGCGGCUGUCAGUUACCGGCAUCCUGCACACGUGGAUAGUUUGUUCUUUUUUGAAGGGAGAUCCAAGCUCCCACAGGCAAGAGCACAUCCUACUGGACCUGAGGAAGAAAAUGAUCUGUCCAUACCCACUGCCUGGAGAAUGAUCUGUUGCCAGAAGCUGGAUGACUUCGGGCCUAGCCAAAUGCCAAGCUAUGCUAAGGGAAGUUGGGGUUCUUGUCCUGGAAAAUUGCAGAAUGGACGCAGAGAUCCAUUACUGCGCGCGGCGGGGAAGAGGACGCCGCCGGGAGCUGGUGCGUGACACACUGCAGCCUCGCGGGCUGCCCGGGACUUCAUCAAGCCCGGGUCGGCUCGGGGCGGGCAGGGGUAGGAUCCAUACCGCCGAACUGCGGCCCCGCUGCUCGCAGCCGCUCUUCCGGGAGCGCCCGCUUAGGACUCACUCCCGCCCAUUCCUUACCUCGAUGGAAUCCUUAGCCCUUAGAGAGAGGGCUAAAAAACAAAUAAACAAACAACAGACAAACAAAAAAAAAACCAAAUUCCAAAUGGCCCCCGGACCCUCCCGCAGAUGCAGGGCGCACACUGGCCAGUUCUAACCAUAGACUUGACUGCAUGUUGACAAGGGUUUCCAACCUAGCUUCCCCGAGGUACUGCAUGAAUCAGUCCUUGCUCAGAUGGUGGUUGCUGUAAAUAGCUGCAAUUUCCCUCCUUCCGUCUCAAAGCACGGAUGGGAAUGGAUUUGCAGCAGGGACUCUGCAUUAUAUUUAAGGUCUUGGUGAGAUGGACACGGGCUCCAUCAGCUCCAGACUUCCUGGGACAUCUCGGCAUUUCCAGGUCCGUUUGCCCCAAUGGUGGAAGUCACCGCCCAUAUAUGAGGAAAUAAAUGUCCACACCUAGCAUUUGGGAUAACGUGGCUAAAUUGUUUUCAGUUUUUGAAAGACGCUGCAGAAAAAGAGGCAAAACCUGAUACAGCACAGCAGCAUGCCCCUCCCGCCCCCAAAUACGAGAUCGAAUCACAUUUUUAAGGGAAAAAAUAGGCAUUCUCAUCUUAGAUAUGUAUGUAGCAUAUUUUAUAAUAUAUAUUUUUAUCUAAAAAUUAUGCUUUUCUGUAUUUUACAACUUUCUUUAUUAAGCAUUUUUAUUUUGUGCUAUUUUUUACAGUAAAAACUCUGAAGACCCAAAGAAAUUUAAUAUUAGCUUAAAUGUACAUUAGAUAUAUUUAUAGAAUCAAUUUAUUAGCUGCUAUAUUGUUUGACAUAAAAGGCUUUUGAACUAAAGAUAGAAAUGGAAGCAUUCUUCAUUUAGAAACAACCUUUCUCCUCUUCUUCCAACUCUUGUUGGCUUACCUCCAAAAUAUAUCCUGCAUCUGUCUUUCUCACCACCUAGACUGCUCCUAGUUUAGUUACUGGUCACCCUUCAUCAUCAUUCACCUGGAUUGCAAAAAUAGCCUCUUGUCUGGUUUUCCUGAAUUCAUUUUCUCCCCACUGCAGUCCUCACUUGCCACAUAGCAUUUUAAAAGAUUGCUCUUUUAAAAUGGAAAUCAAAUCCUAUCUCUUCUCUUUUUAGAACCUUCAGUGCCUUCCCAUGGCACCUUGAUUAGACCCCAAGUUCUUCACCAUAGCCAAAAUGUAAUGUGCCAUCUGCCCCAUCCACCCUCGCUCAUCGCUCCUCAUCUCAUAUCACUUUUUCACUUGUCACAGCAUGCUUUUACAUAUCCCUUCUUUCAGAUCCAAAGCCCCACAAGCUUAUUUCUGUCUCCUAAUCCCAGCUCUUGCUAUUCAUUCAGUGUGGAAGAUCUCCUUCAUAAAUUCUUCGCAAAUCUACUUCAUUCUUAUUCCAGCCUCAGCUCAGGUAUCAGAGCUGACCACCUUCUGUCCCAACCCUCAACUGUACUCAUUAUCACAUUACCCUAUUCCAUUUCAACACAGUAAUUAAUUGACAUUAUUUUAUAUAUCCAUGGCAUUACCAGGGUGUUCUCUGUCUCCACACACUAGAAUGUAAGCCCCAUGAAAACAGGCUCCUUGUCUUUCUUGUACACCGUGAUCUCUCUGGGUUCUAGAAUAGUGCCUGGUCCAUAGUUGGAAAUCAGUAAGUAUUGAUUAAAUAAAUUAUUGAGUGUGAUUUCCUAGUGUCUUGUUUGUAAAAUGCCACUAAUAGCAUUCUGCAUACUCUGCCAUGAGUUUUAUAGUUAUUUUUAUGCCCAUAUGCUUCCUCCUCUCUAGUGUGAACUCUACGAGGCAGGAUCAUAUUUAGUUCAUUUUAUUCUCCAUGUCCUUAUGGAGUCUGGCACAUUACAGAUGUUUAAUACAUUUUCUGGACUGAGUUGCAAUGAGUAAAUGGGUAAUAAGAUGAUAUAGUAUGACUUUACACCAAGUCUAACCUUUCACCUGGGGACAUGCAAAAUUAUUAUGUAUCCAGAGGAACAGGUUGUUGCUUUGACCCCUGUAACAUCGCAUACACAUACACAUGGACACACAUACACUUGUUCUCGAUAUUUUCAAAGACUGUUCAUAUCCAUUAUUUUAUUUGAUCUCCAAGCUGGUAUGUAUAAGCAGAAGCUCAGGGGCAUUAAUUGACCUGCUCAAGCUUACAUAGCUAAUAUAAAGCAGAGACAGGGAUAGAGCUUACUACUUUCAAACACCCACAAAUAUGCACACAUAAAAACACACACACACAUUUCCACAUUUGCCAUUGUGGCUUAGUUCAAAUGGGAUCAUAAAUGCAAAGUACUUUGAAUGGAAUCUGGUAUGACAGCCUUCCAAUACACAGCCAUUCCUUUCUCUUGGCCAUGCUACAGUUGCCAUAAUCUUCCUAUUCCUAGAAAGAAGAAUUCUUCUAUCUUCACUUUGUUCUUUUUCUUACUAGUCUGAUCUCCAGGGUCAUCCUUAUUGUGAAAUUUUAAUGCAUAAUAUUAAUUGGACAUGUUCACAAACAUGAGCAAUAGUAAAUGGAUUUUUGCUAACUAGCAACCUAUUGCUCUUCUAACUUUUAUUCUGAAUACAAACCAAAGAGAAACAGUUGUGAAUACCUACUAGCACACAGCUUAGCUUAAGUCAUAUAGUGCAGUGUCAAUGAGGAAAGCUUAUCAUCCACAAACAAACACUAAACAUAGCACAGCCAGCGGGGACAAACAAUGUGCAAAAUUAGUUUUAUUAUAGGCAAAAAAAAAGAAUGCGAGCGCAUUUUGAUCAUUCAUUCAUUGUUGCAUUCAUUUUAUGUGCCAAGCACACUGUACAAAAUUUGGGAACAGAGCGGCAAGCAAAAAUAAAUGAGGUCUCUACUGAUACGGGUCUUGUGGAAAAGAAAGACUUAAACCAAAGAAUCACAAAACAGAGAUCAAUGCUGUGAGUGGGUAAAACAGGAGGAAUGGACAUAGUCAGAGAAUUCAGGGGAGAAGUCCUUGAGGAAGUGACGACUAGGCUUAGCUAUGUUUUGAAUUCAGUUAUGGCCCAAUGUCUCCAAUGGUUACUAAAGAAAGAAGAAAUGACCAAAGAAAUAAAUAAUAAUGGUGACUACCUUUAAAAUUCUUUCAUUUAAUAAAUACUUCUUGAGUACCUACUAUCUACCAGGUAGUCGUCAAAGUGCUAGGAGUUUUAACAGUGAUCAGAGACAAAAAUUCCUGCCCUUAUGGCUUUACACUGUUAUGGAGGACGGCACACAGUAAACUCACACAUAAUUUUCAUGGAAAAGAAUGUUAACUGUUGAUUUCCCCUAAGCAGAAAAAUAAACUGAGGAAGUAAGAUAGGGAAGUGGAGUUGGUGGGGCAGUGAGAUACCAUUUUAUUUAGGAAAGUCCUGUAUGCCCUCACUGAAUAAUACAUUUGAGCAAGACCCAACAGUGCUAAAGCAGCAAGCUAUGUUGAUCUGAGGGGCAGGUGUGGGUGGUCACAGAGGGAAGAACCUUAAUGAAAGCUUCAAGGGCAAUGACCCUGAGAUUACAGCAUGACUGACUUGCCAUGAAUCUGAAGGAAGUGCAAGGAGGCCAGUAUGUCUAAAGUAACUGGAAUAAGCAAGGGGGUGACUAGUUACAUGAGUAAAGAGAGGUAACUAGGACAUGAGUUCAAAGAGGCAAUAGAUCUUGAAGUAUCUUGUAGGUAUGUGUAAAGAUUUUCACUUUUCCUGUAAGUACAAUGGAACUUUAGAAACUUUAGUAAAAUGGAACAAUAGAAACUUUUGAACAAAUAAUUGACAGGAUCUUAUUUAUUUAUUUAUUUUUGAGACAGAGUUUCACUCUUGUUGCCCAGGCUAGAGUGCAAUGGUAUGAUCUCAGCUCACUGCAACCUCCGCCUCCCAGGUUCAAGCAAUUCUCCUGCCUCAGCCUCCUGAGUAGCCGGGAUUACAGGUGCCCACCACCAUGCCCAGCUAAUUUUUGCAUUUUUAGUAGAGAGGGGGUUUUACCAUGUUGGCCAGGCUGGUCUCAAACUCCUGACCUCAGGUGAUCUGCCCACUUCAGCCUCCCAAAGUGCUGGGAUUACAAGAGUGAGCCACUGCGGCUGGCCCUGACUUAUGUUUUAAUAGGUACUCUGGCUACCAUGUAGAGGGUACUCAUUAUGUUCCAGGAAAUGUACUAAGUGUCUUAACAGAGGACCUCAUUUUACUUUCAUAAUUCUGAGAAGUACUCAUUUUACAGGUGAGAAAACCAAGGUGUAGGGAGUUUUAACAACUUACUCAAGGUUGCAUGGCUAGUAACUGAUAGAGAUGGAAUUAAAAGUCAAGUAAUGUAAUUCUAUCACCCUGGUUAUUAAUCAAAAUGUAAGAGUGCCUCCCUAAGAGAGACUGGGAUGAGGAGGUGUUGGUGCUGAGAGUGAAAAUAAUAUCUAUCAUUUAUUGAGGGUCUACCAGUCACUGCCCUAGAUUUUCUCAUUAAUUUUAUUUCAUUCUGACAUCAACCCUAUUAGAUACAUAUUAUUGUUCUUUCAUUAUAGAUGAGGAAACUAAAACUCAGAGAAGUUAUGUAACUAACUAAAGUUUGAACAGUUAAUAAUUAGAAGUUAAAAUUCAAACCCAGAGUGCUUCAUCGCCAAAGCUAUGGCUUAUUGCUUCUCAGAUAAGAAUGUUAAACUUCAAAAUAUAUUUCUUAUAAAGAACCUUUAAUUGAGUCUUCUGUUUUUAAAAUAUCUACUAUAUCUUUCUUUUUGGAGUGCUUAGUGUACUUACGUAUAUAAUGACUGAAAUAGUUGCUUUAAUUCUACCUACCUGCUAUUUUUUUUCUAUUUAUCGUAUCUGUUCUUCGUUCCUUUAUUCCUCCUUCUCUACUUGGUUUUGAAUUAAGUAUAUUGUAUUCAUUCCACUUAUCUCCUCUAUUAGUUUUAUAUUCCUGACAUUAUUAGCUCUUAUGUGGGAAAUUAAUAUGCCUUCCUAGCUUCUCAAUAUAUAUAUUUUAAAUUCAUAUUUUACGCUUCACAAACAAUGCAAAAAGCUUACCACAGUUUAACCUCAUUAAGGCCCUCCAGUUUGUUUGUGAUAUUGUUAGUUUUAUUUCCACAUUGUUAUGUUCCUCCAACUCUUUCCUUAUUUUUGUUUUAAAAAGUCAGUAUCCUUUUAAUAUUUACACACAGACUUUUCCUUUACUGUGCCCUUUGUUCUUUCCUAAAGUUUAAUAUAUCCACCUGGGAUUAUUUUCCUUCAGCCUGAAACAUUUCCUUGAGUAAAACUUAUAGUGCCAUUCUCUAGAUACUCUAAACUUGGGAGCUCAUUGGAUGAGUUUAAGAGCAUGUGGGACACAACUUAUUAACUCAAAGACGAGAUCAUUUUUUAAAAAUGCCUGAACUGAAACACAAAAGUGGAAAAAAGUUUAAACUUGCUCAAGGUUUAUUUGUCUGAAAAUAUAUUUAUUUUGACUUAACUUUUGAGUAUAUUUUUACUUGGUAUAAAAUUCUAAGUUGGCAAUAUUUUUCUUUUAUCUCUUUAAAGAUGUUAAGACAUUGUCUUCUGGCUUCCAUAGUUUCUACUGAAAAAUCAUCCAUCAAUUUUGUUGUUACUUUGAAAGUAAUGUGUCCCCCUUCCUCCACCUCUGCUUUGAUUUGUCUCAUAUUUUUUCUUUGUCUUUAAUUUUUAGCACUUUGAAUAUUAUGUGCCUAAAUAGGGUUUUCAUUGUUUUUAUUCUUAUUGAUAUUCCCUGUUCUUGGAUCUGUGGGUUGAUAUCCUCGAUUUGUUUUGGAAAAUUCUGUUGUUUUCUCUGCAACAAUUUCUUCUAUAGUCCCUCUUUUCUCUCGUUCUGGGACUUCGGUUAUGCAUGUAUUAGAUCUUCUGACUGUGUAGUCAAUGUCUGUAAUGUUUUUUUCCAUUCUUUCUAUUCUAUCUUAGUUCUCACAUUUGUAUUUCAGUUUGGUCAUUUUUAAAAACUGAUCUUGUCUUUGAGUUAAAUAUGCUAUGUCCCACAUGCUAUUAAAUUCAUGCAAUAAGUUCCUAAGUUUAGAUAUUAUAUUUUCCAAAUUCCAUAAUAACCAUAUGGCUUUCUUAGCCAUUUUUAUUCUCUUUGAAACUCUUAACCUUUAAUACAUACCUAGUUCCUUUGUAUCCAUUAACAUAAUAAUCUUUAUUAUUUUAAAGUCAUUUUCUGCUAAUUUUUAUAUUUGUGAGUCUGCUUCUAUUGUUUGAUUUUUUUCUCUUGAUUAUAAAUCAUACCUUCAAUUUUCUUUUCAUGUUAGUAAUUUUUAGUUAUCUUACAGAUAUUGGGUAUUAAAAAUAACCCCAAACAAAACAAAAUAAUGACAACAACAAAACAAAAUGUUCAGAUGAAAUGUCUACCAGCAAGGGUUCCUCCUAUCCUCUGAUGGGCAGACAGGCAGAGAUUGUGCUGGAUAGGAGGUUGAGUUGCAAUUUUUAGCAAAUCCCAGCUCACCUUUUAUUUGUCCCUGAUUUUUGCAGAGGUCAAUUUUGGGCUUUUGAUGAGAAGCCUAGCAGCUACCUGUCUCCACAGUUCUAAAUAGUUUGCUCUUCAGAGGUUUAGAGGCUGUAUCUUAGAUAUCCAUGCCACAAAGGUUCAAAUCUGGCAAAUGGUUUAUGAGGAAAAAUUGUUGGACAUUUAUUGUAAACCCGUAUUUCUAACAAGAUGUUGUUUCUCAAGCACUGCAGACUACAGCAGAUUUUAUUUUCUCUUUCUGGUUCUGCCCCUUUAAGACUUCCCCACCAUUCCAAAACAUAUGGAAAUGAGCCUUGCAUUUUGCACUCUUCUAUUUUCCCAUCUAUUAUGCCAAUCCCAUUCAUUCACCAAAACUUCUGCUGAUUUUUCUUUUACCCAGUAAAGUCCUUCUCUUUGGCCGAAAUCUCAUCUUCAGCCUUUACCUGCAAUGAACAAAUGCUCCUUGGGAAGCAAACAGCUGGUGAUUAUAAGCUCAUGUAGGAACUUGAGUUUAUCUAGUUCCUGUUGCUUCCAACAAGAUAGUGUCUUUAAUGACGCUUUCAGUUUACCUGUUUUUUUUUUCUUAUUGCAACAGUGUGUGUGUUAGCCUGCUGUGACCAUCUACUUCUUUUUUUUUAAAUUAAAAAAAUUUUUUUUUGUAUUUUUAGUAGAGAUGGGGUUUCACCAUGUUAGCCAGGAUGGUCUCCAUCUCCUGACCUCGUGAUCUGCCCGCCUCAGCCUCCCAAAGUGCUGGGAUUAUAGGCUUCAGCCACCGGGCCCAGCCCAUCUACUUCUUAUCUAGAAAUGAAAGUCCCUCUCAGAUGUAUAAGGGGGCAGAAAUUUUGGAGCUUGAACGGACUUUGGCAUGUGCUCAGAAUUGUAAAGUGAUGUAUUCAAGACAAAAAACAAACAAACAAAUCCAAAAAAACGAUAAAGCUAGAAAUUGGACCUGAGGUAAACUUGAGGGAGGUCUUCUGAUCCCAUCUAUUAUUCAAGAGGACAGGGAGCAGAGAAAGAGAGGAAGAGAGAAGAUAUUGUGGAAGGCUCUACCUGAAACAGAGAGCAAUUCUGAAGUUUUUGCUCCAAUUCUGGAAUUCAGAAGUGACCUACCCUCAGAAACACUGGAAAACACACUUAGGUCUUUUGAGCCAAUUAUUACAUCUAACAUUUGCCUAUUAUUAUUGUUGUUGUUGUUCUACCUGGUUUGAAAACAGGAUUUAAAAUAAUUUGCCAAUGAUGAGAGCUCCUCUGGGGAAGGUUACAGAUGAGGCAAAUAGGAUGAUAAUAUAGAGGGUAAGAAAGGCUGUUAUUAGAAAGCUGAGAAUAUUACUUUUGGCAGGGGUACAUUGGUAGUUGAAGGAAUUUCAGGACUAGGUGAUGUGGGCUCAUGAAUUACUCCACUCAACAGAGCAAAUGAGACAAGACUGGGUUCCUGUCCUUUGAAAACAUAAAAAGGAAAUGUUUCGAUCCUUUUCUACAGGGAAAGUUGAUCACUGUCACUUUUCCCCCCUCUAUGAUUGUUGAGCUAGUCCAGAGUGCCAAAGUAAGGGAAGAAAAAGUACAAGAUUAAUGACGAGAUGGGAUUCUGGAACUGAGAGCAGAGAGACCCAUCCCUUCCCGAGAUGCUCCUCACCCUUCCACUCACACGCUGAGCUACUGAAGCCAAACUUCACCUCUUAUAUGGGGAAGGAAAAACAUUUGAAUUUGCAGAAAGUCAAAGUCAUGAGAAGAUAAAAGAAAUGUGAUUAAAAAUAAAUGUGAUUUUUAUGUUUUAUCUUUAAUGUGGCAGUAGUAUAUUUAUUUAAGUUUUGUGGUAUUUUGUCCUGCUCUUGAUUGAAAUUGUAUGUCUCUAGUCAAGCCUAAAAAAGAGGUUGCUAAGCAAUUUAACAAUGUAAACAAGUAAGAGGGGGAGAAAUGUUCAGGAUCAACGGGAAGCAGUGUGUUUUUAUUUUCUUAGAAGAACAAACUGAACAAACUGUAUUUAAGAAUAUUAUCACACUAUUGUCUACAUGCAAAUGUGUGCUGCUAUUUGUAAACGAAUCACAUCCCUUUAUUAAGGAAGGAUGUCUAUUUGUCAUCUUUGCAGCAAUUCCAGUAAUAAAAAAAUGCCCAUUUCUUUAAAAUUAUGCGCUAUUGAUGGCAGCUAACAUUUCUGGAGUACUUAUUAUGAACCAGGAUGCUAAACAAGGAUCACUUCAUACAAGCUAUUGCAUUUAAUCUUCACAAUUGUUUUAUGAGGUAAUUACUAAUAUUAUCCUCCUUUUUAACACGUAAGAAAAUGGAGACUUAGCAAGGUUAAGUAACUUGCCCAAGGACAUAUAAUAAAGGGCAGAGCCCAGUUCAAUUUGAUUCAAAAGCCUAUGUGCUAAUCAUUUUGCAAUAAUCAGAAUGGUCUUUCAAUAGCUGCAAACCUGUGGUGCAAAACUUUCCAUUGGAAUGAUGGCCAAUCCAGUGGCUUGGUUUCUAAACAACUCCAUUCCUCCUUUCUGUUCUACUCAGCCAAUCACCUUGAUGACCACUCUUCUCUCUCAGUCCACAGUGGUCAAGUUGUGUUGCCUAAAGCAUGAAAAAGGGAAAUGAAC
rnacentral:lncRNA from 1 species